rnacentral:antisense_RNA from 1 species
CUUCACCGACCCCAGCCACAGCGGCCGGUCGGCGGACCGGCCGCGCCCGUAGGCGGCCAGCAGCGCGUUCGCCUC